rnacentral:misc_RNA from 1 species
GGUGGUGGUGUGGGGGAGGAAUGGGUGAAAGUGUUGUCCUCAAGAAUUAUGCUAUACCAAGGAGACUUCUGAUUACAUUAUUGUACAGGCAAAUCAAAUAAUGUUGCACCACUUUGUGUAGUUUAUGAAAAUCUAUGGAAUACAGCAAACAAUAAUAACAAAAAUGUUAGAAUUCUUCCGCUCAUCAGGUGGGAAGCUGCAGAAACAUUGUGAGCCCCAACAGAAUACACUGAACCAGAACUAUCAUCCCUCACUUUGAUGCCUGAAGAGCCUAAAAUAACCAAAAACAUGCAAAGAGCAAGGCAAGAAUAAAUCCUUGAUUCAUUUAUAAUUAACUGUAUGCCAGAAUGUGGAGGAAGACUGAAUUUUCAUUUGAUAUAUGUCAAUCUGUUGAAAGGAAAAU